CCUACGGGAGGCAGCAGUGGGGAAUAUUGGACAAUGGGGGGAACCCUGAUCCAGCGACGCCGCGUGAGUGAAGAAGUAUUUCGGUAUGUAAAGCUCUAUCAGCAGGGAAGAAAGAAAUGACGGUACCUGACUAAGAAGCCCCGGCUAACUACGUGCCAGCAGCCGCGGUAAUACGUAGGGGGCAAGCGUUAACCGGAUUUACUGGGGGGAAAGGGGGCGUAGACGGCGAUGCAAGUCUGAAGUGAAAGGCGGGGGCCCAACCCCCGGACUGCUUUGGAAACUGUAUGGCUGGAGUGCAGGAGAGGUAAGUGGAAUUCCUAGUGUAGCGGUGAAAUGCGUAGAUAUUAGGAGGAACACCAGUGGCGAAGGCGGCUUACUGGACUGUAACUGACGUUGAGGCUCGAAAGCGUGGGGAGCAAACAGGAUUAGAUACCCUUGUAGUC
rnacentral:rRNA from 1 species